GAUUUACAUGUCGCAGUAAGGAUUAAAGCAACGGCGCCAUUGCAGCAGGUGCGUUGAGUGACAGGGGAGCGGAGACCUCGAAGUCACCGCAGAUAGCGAUCGAUAGCGUAGCAGAUCCGCGACGCCGCAAAAAUCUAGACACAAUUUAUCUAAAAUUUCAGGUAUCGAGGACUCAAGGACUGACGCCACAACUCAUUCGAUUUAAAAGUAUUUCUAUAUAUUUUUUAUUUUCAAUUACGUGGCAACUCGUUUGGAUUUAUUACCUAUUUUAUGUGUAAGAUAGUUAAGUAUUCAAAUAUCAAUUAUGCUUUUGAAAUCUUAACAGGACAUAUUGUAUUUAUUUCUAAGUUUUGAACUUACAGUAAAAAAUAAAUAUUGAUUUUUUAAGUGCUAUAAUGUUGUAUAAGUUGUAUUUGAG
rnacentral:lncRNA from 1 species